AAUGAGCCUGCGAGUUGUGGUGUCUGGCAAGGUUAAGCAAACGCGAAGCCGUAGCGAAAGCGAGUCUGAAUAGGGCGCUUAGUCAGAUGCUGCAGACCCGAAACGAAGUGAUCUAUCCAUGAGCAAGUUGAAGCUAGUGUAAGAACUAGUGGAGGACUGAACCCAUAGGCGUUGAAAAGCCCCGGGAUGACUUGUGGAUAGGGGUGAAAGGCCAAUCAAACUUCGUGAUAGCUGGUUCUCUCCGAAAUAUAUUUAGGUAUAGCGUUGUGUCGUAAUAUAAGGGGGUAGAGCACUGAAUGGGCUAGGGCAUACACCAAUGUACCAAACCCUAUCAAACUCCGAAUACCUUAUAUGUAAUCACAGCAGUCAGGCGGCGAGUGAUAAAAUCCGUCGUCAAGAGGGAAACAACCCAGACUACCAGCUAAGGUCCCUAAAUCUUACUUAAGUGGAAAACGAUGUGAAGUUACUUAAACAACCAGGAGGUUGGCUUAGAAGCAGCCAUCCUUUAAAGAAAGCGUAAUAGCUCACUGGUCUAGUGAUUUUGCGCGGAAAAUAUAACGGGGCUAAAGUAAGUACCGAAGCUGUAGACUUGCGCACAACUUAGAUUAUUUAAGUUUAGAAUAUGAGAAACUAAGUUAUAUUUUUACUGAUUUUUAUAGAGUAAAGAUAGAAAUAAAACUUAGUAAAAUCAGUAAAAAUAUUCUUAGGCUAAAGUUAAGUAGUUUAAGUUGUGUGCAAGUGGUAGGAGAGCGUUCUAUUUGCGUCGAAGGUAUACCGGUAAGGAGUGCUGGAGCGAAUAGAAGUGAGCAUGCAGGCAUGAGUAGCGAUAAUUAAUGUGAGAAUCAUUAACGCCGUAAACCCAAGGUUUCCUACGCGAUGCUCGUCAUCGUAGGGUUAGUCGGGUCCUAAGUCGAGUCCGAAAGGGGUAGACGAUGGCAAAUUGGUUAAUAUUCCAAUACCAACAUUAGUGUGCGAUGGAAGGACGCUUAGGGCUAAGGGGGCUAGCGGAUGGAAGUGCUAGUCUAAGGUCGUAGGAGGUUAUACAGGCAAAUCCGUAUAACAAUACUCCGAGAACUGAAAGGCUUUUUGAAGUCUUCGGAUGGAUAGAAGAACCCCUGAUGCCGUCGAGCCAAGAAAAGUUUCUAAGUUUAGCUAAUGUUGCCCGUACCGUAAACCGACACAGGUGGGUGGGAUGAGUAUUCUAAGGCGCGUGGAAGAACUCUCUUUAAGGAACUCUGCAAAAUAGCACCGUAUCUUCGGUAUAAGGUGUGGUUAGCUUCGUACUAGGAUUUACUCCGAAAGCGAAGAAACUUACAACAAAGAGU
rnacentral:rRNA from 1 species